UCACUGCCUAAUUUUUCCUGUUUCUUUUUUAUUAUUGUGACUCAUGUGUCUCAUGUCUGCUUCUCCGAGUUUCCUCUCCAACUUUCCUUCCCUUUCUGUCUCCUCCCCCAUCCUCUAUGUCCUAUUAUAGCUUGAACCCCUGAAAAUGGCAACUUCUUCUUCAAGAUCUAGAAAGUCAAGAUCAUUUUGUAAAUUCUACUGUCAUCGAAGCUGUCUCUGGUUAUCCGAUGAGUUAUAGCAAGAAUUUGCGAAGGCCUCCAACGUAAAUGGAGUAUAAAUUGAACUUCUUUCCGGACUAAGGAACGACGGUGGCUUACUCAAAAAGGACCAUGGAGCCUAGGGAGAGGGAGAGGGAGAUCGGAAACUAAUUAAGUAUAAGUCGAGAAUAUGUGUUGCUGCAUGAGAACUCCAAUACCUGAUUGACCUCAUCUACCAGACUCAUAGUUGUCGUUGAUGGCGCGAGAAUAUGCACAAGGAUUCUUGCAGGAUCUUCUUCCUGAGAAUGUGUUGCAAGUUCAACUUGCGGAUGUGUUGCUCAUGUUGAUGAUCUCUUAAACUUGGGAAACUAUUGAGCAAAAUGCAUAGGAUUUUGGAGUUAACUUGCCUUGGUUUUGACACUUUCCCAUCACUACUCUGUGCAGAUGCAUGUCGUAUAAUUGAUAGAAGGAUGGGUCUUUUCGCACUACAAAGCUUAAUUAGCCAAGCCUUAGAAAGAAAGCAAAAGCCUAUUAUCAUUUUAAAUUUUGGUCAUAUGCUGCUACUUGAAGAAUAAGGAUAUUUUAAAAAUAUUUUCUUUCCCAAAUCUUCUUCACAUCAUGCAAUCGAAGGAGGUGAACAGUAUCAAGAAAUGAAGCUUAGAACCAGUGAUGAUUAUCCUAGAAGUUCCAAGGAGAGUAACUUGUUUUUUCUUUCUGAUGGUGCAUCUAGAAAUUUCUCUUUAAAGUCCGAAAAUGAACCUGAGUCUCCAAGAAAGAUUGCAAAGGAUUUGGUUGAAAGACUUAUGAGGAUAGAACAAUUAUGUGAUCCAAAAAAUCAUGGAGAUACUUCCCCCAAUUGGGUAGAUAUGCCUACAACUCUACGUGACAAGCAAUCAUACAACAUUGUUAUGCUCCUACCCGAGUUGAUAUCUCAGAAAAAGAUUUCCUCUCGAGAGGAUAUCUUUGAAAAGCAUUUGGAUGGCCAAAGUUCUACUUUGUUAUCUGAAGAGAAGGAGGAUCCCGCUGCUUUAGCAUUGCAUAGGAAAUUAUAAGAAUUAAAAGAGAGGACACGGCUACUCUCUAAGCAGCUUGCUAAAGGGAAUAUAUGGGUAUCCAAUUAAGAAUCCAAUUAAGAAUCCAAUUAAGAUUCUGGCUCUUUACUUCUUUGCACUGAACAAAGAAUUGCUGGACGAAAUCAACACAAAGAUCAAAGCACUAAGUUAGCUGGCUUGAUCAUACCCAAUUGAAUAACAUAUAUGGCUAUGAAACAGAAGAAUACUCUCAUAGUGCUUUAAAAAAGUUCAAUUUAAAGGUAUACUCUAACAACUCAAGGAGAUGGUCGAAUACGGUCCCAAUAUGUUUUUACAGCCCCUUAUAGAGAAUCGAUGUAAACUAGAUGAAUUGAGAGAUGAUACUAACAACACCUCAAUAUGAUAAAUUGAUAAUGGUAGGUUUCAAAUGCUCAAUUAUCAUCAGAAUAAUAAUUUGUGGGAAGAACUAUAUCAAUAGCUAACACAUUAUAUUACUAAUUAUCUAACCGAAAGUAGGAUGCGUGUUGGAUGUAAAAAAGCAGCUGUGACUGAUAUCAACGACUAUUUCACUUUGAUUUGGGGUUACAUUUGAUGGUUAUUUGAUUUGUGGUUUUUUUUGUUUUUGUUUUGAUUGGUUCGUGUUGUUUUUGGAAUUGGUUUUGUGGGUAUUUGUUUAAUUUGCUUGAAUUGUUUGAUUCUGAAUUGAAUUGUGCCAAGAGGGACUGAGGGGGUGAAGGAGAGAGAGAGUCUCCUGAGAUUUCAAACAGUAUAGUACGAAUUAGUAGUUAGUUUCAUUUCACAGUUGAAUCACCAUUUUGUGCUAUAAUGACAAUUUUCUUCUUUGUUUUGUAGUCUCUGGUUAUCCGAUGAGUUAUAGCAAGAAUUUGCGAAGGCCUCCAACGUAAAUGGAGUAUAAAUUGAACUUCUUUCCGGGUCAGUGUUUGCUAUUGGUAGUUUGAAUUGUAGCGUACAAUGAUCCUUCACUUAUUGAAGAGAACAUGGUUAAGCUUAAAGCUAAAGUUUUGCAGCUUAUUGUAUCACGUUCUUAAACUUUCAGACACCCAACCUCCAAUUACAUGAUAUUAUUUUUAAAGGAAAUACUCAAUAAGAUCUUCACAACACUAUUCCUGAUGUGUAAUAGAGUAUUAGCCAUAUCUUUAUAUGACAGUGGGUAUAUGACAUCCAGUUUUGAUCUCA